AAACUAUAAACAGUUUUUCAAAAUUGCAAUGCCAAGCACUUUAAAUAACUCAAAUAAAAUAAUAAUACUUUGCAUCCGCUACACACAUUCGCACAGGGCACAUUGGUUAGCAUGAAGAGUUGGAGCUACAUUUAUUAUUAUGAUUAUUAUUAUAUAUAUUAUACUAGUAACUCCUCACAUACAGUCUAUUAGUUCAGUUCUUUAUUAUUCACUCAACAUUUAAACAAAUACAAAUUUUAAUAGCGACUAACUUCGCGUCGAAAACUUCAGCAUAUCAUAUUUUGAAAUAACAUUAGGAUAGCAAUCAAUAAACUUGUGUAAAGCCAUAGAGCAUUGUAUCAAUAUUGUCGCAUAUACAUACAUAGGUAUGUAUGCAGGUAAAAGCAAUUAUUCAAAUCAACAUUCAUCAUUAAGUAUUAUCCCCCAUUUGUGUUGGCUUGCGCUCUCGAUCUGGCCCAGCUUGUUCAACAACAUAUUUAACAGAAGCUGACCAAGAUUGGCGCACUCAACAGUGUGGAGCUAAGCCUAAUCUUGAUGAGCGACACGUCUGGCUGGCGGCCACGCGACCUUAUAAGAGACGCGCGCCCGUCAGCCCGUACAGAAAACUAGUUCACAACAAACACACACACAGCUCCAAAAUGCUUCGUAGUCUGUGCUUUAAGAUCUUGCAGUUUGCCCUGCUCUUCGCCGUGGUCGUCUACCAGAAGCAUAUUGGAAGCGUUGCCGAUGCCAAGCAAUUCGAGAGCGAUUGUCGCUGCCAGAGGCGGGGCUAAGCUUUGGUUAGCUGAACUGCAGUGUAAUUGAGACGAAUAUAGCAGCACACAUCAAUAAACAGGGCAGGUCGAUGUCGAUGCAUAUAUACAAAA